GACGAACGCUGGCGGCGUGCUUAACACAUGCAAGUCGAACGGAAAGGCCCUGCUUUUGUGGGGUGCUCGAGUGGCGAACGGGUGAGUAACACGUGAGUAACCUGCCCUUGACUUUGGGAUAACUUCAGGAAACUGGGGCUAAUACCGGAUAGGAGCUCCUGCUGCAUGGUGGGGGGUGGAAAGUUUCGGCGGUUGGGGAUGGACUCGCGGCUUAUCAGCUUGUUGGUGGGGUAGUGGCUUACCAAGGCUUUGACGGGUAGCCGGCCUGAGAGGGUGACCGGCCACAUUGGGACUGAGAUACGGCCCAGACUCCUACGGGAGGCAGCAGGGGGGAAUAUUGCACCAUGGGCGGAAGCCUGAUGCAGCAACGCCGCGUGCGGGAUGACGGCCUUCGGGUUGUAAACCGCUUUCGCCUGUGACGAAGCGUGAGUGACGGUAAUGGGUAAAGAAGCACCGGCUAACUACGUG
rnacentral:rRNA from 1 species